GAUGAACGCUGGCGGCGCGCCUAACACAUGCAAGUCGAACGGUUAAAGCACCUUUUAGGUGUGUAUAAAGUGGCGAACGGCUGAGUAACACGUGGGCAGCCUGCCCUCCUCUUGGGGAUAGCCUCGGGAAACCGAGGAUAAUACCCGAUACUUCAAUGUGGCCGCAUGACGACAUUGAGAAAGCUUUUGCGGAGAAGGAUGGGCCCGCGGCCUGUUAGCUUGUUGGUGGGGUAGAGGCCUACCAAGGCAAUGAUGGGUAGCUGGGUUGAGAGACCGACCAGCCAGAUUGGGACUGAGACACGGCCCAGACUCCUACGGGAGGCAGCAGUGGGGAAUCUUGCACAAUGGGCGAAAGCCUGAUGCAGCGACGCCGCGUGCGGGACGAAGGCCUUCGGGUUGUAAACCGCUUUCAGCAGGGACGAGGCGAUAAGUGACGGUACCUGCAGAAGAAGCCCCGGCUAACUACGUG
rnacentral:rRNA from 1 species